CACGUAGGGUGCGAGCGUUGUCCGGAAUUAUUGGGCGUAAAGAGCUCGUAGGCGGUGUGUCGCGUCGGCCGUGAAAACCUGCAGCUUAACUGUGGGCGUGCGGUCGAUACGGGCAUCACUGGAGUUCGGCAGGGGAGACUGGAAUUCCUGGUGUAGCGGUGAAAUGCGCAGAUAUCAGGAGGAACACCGGUGGCGAAGGCGGGCCUCUGGGCCGAUACUGACGCUGAGGAGCGAAAGCGUGGGGAGCGAACGGG
rnacentral:rRNA from 1 species